rnacentral:rRNA from 1 species
UCUUGUUUGAAUCUAGCUAACAAUUUGGUUAUCCCUUAAACUAAUACAUACAAGACCAACCACUCCCGUGAGUUAAAAGUAUUCUUCUAUAAUUAAACAUAUAAAGCUGUCUACAAAUAAUAAAUAAAAUAAUUUUUAAAUAAAGAAACCCACGCCUGUAGUAUAUAAAACUGAGUUAUUUUUGGGAAACCAAGAACCGAUUAUAGGACUUAGGGCUGGUAAAAUUUGUGCCAGCUACCGCGGUUAAACAAAAAGCCCAAAUCAACUAACAUCAAAACUAAAGUAGACCUAAAUGACAUAAUUCUAACUUAAAGGAGUAUAACCCGAAACAGUAAAUAUUUAUCCUACAAAUGUCAAAACCUGCUUUAACUAAAGCUUAAACCAAAACGAGGAUUUGAUACCCACUUAUUUUAAGCCUUUUAUCCUGGGUAGUAUGGUCUCAUGACUUAAACCUAAAGAUAUUGGCGGUGCUUUAACCUCUUAGGGGAACCUGUUCUUUAAACCGAUAGUCCACGUACUCCUAACCAUAUUUUGCCCUAGCCUGUGUAUUUCCGUCUAAUUUAUGCUGUGAAGCCUAAGUAAAAAAAUUACUUCAUUUUAACGUCAGGUCGAAGUGCAGCCUAUAAUAUGGGAGAAAUGGGUUACUUUCCACUAGGUACCAUAAACAUUAAUAAAAUUUAAUUUAAUAGGAGGACUUAAAAGUAAGAAAACAAAAACUAUUUUUCUGAAUAUGGAUAACUAAAGCGCGUACACAUCGCCCGUCGCUCUCGUCGAAAGAUGAGAUAAGUCGUAACAUAGUAGGUGUAACGGAAGUUGUGCCU